rnacentral:ncRNA from 1 species
UUAAAAGUUUGGUCCUAGCUUUAAUGUCAACUAUAAUUAACCUUACACAUGCAAGUCUCAGCCUACCAGUGACAACACCCUAAAAAACAAACAGGAGUUAAUAUUAGGCACAACAAUAAUCCAUAAAUGUUAGCCAAUGAUAUUUAGCACGAGCCACACCCCCAACGGGCCUGCAGCAGUGAUAAACAUUAAUCAAUAAGCAUCAGCUUGAUUUAGUUAUAAUUAAUAGAGUUGGUAUAUCUUGUGCCAGCCACCGCGGUUAUACAAGAAACUCAAGUUGACAUCCUACGGCGUAAAGUGUGAAUUAGAGGAAUUUAACAAUACUAAGACUAAAAAUAUACUAAGCUGUCAUACGCUACUAGUACAAUAACACACUCAAUACAUAACGAAAGUAGUCUUAACAAGAAAAUCACUUAAAAAUCACGACCGCUGAAGCACAAACUGGGAUUAGAUACCCCACUAUGUUCAGCCACAAAACUUGAAUAUUUACACUCAACACUCCGCCAGAGUAUUACGAGCAAUAGCUUAAAACUCAAAGGACUUGGCGGUGCCCCAAACCCCUCCGAGGAGCCUGUUCUAUAAUCGAUAACCCACGUUUAACCUCACCACCAUUUGAUAACUCAGCCUAUAUACCACCGUCACCAGCUUGCCUUAUGAAAGAACUACAGCAAGCAAAAACGAAACUUCCAAAUACGUCAGGUCAAGGUGUAGCAUAUAUGGUGGGAAGAAAUGGGCUACAUUUUCUUAUAAAGACCAUACGAAUGAUAAAAUGAAACCAUAUCUAAAGGCGGAUUUGGCAGUAAGAAUGGACAAUUAUACCAUCCUUAAUUUUUGGCCCUGGGGCGCGCACACACCGCCCGUCACCCUCAUCACUUAGUCUUUUUUAUCUAAACUAAAUAAGCACCCACUGACAUCAUAGAUGAGGUAAGUCGUAACAAGGUAAGCGCACUGGAAAGUGCUCUUGGAACAC